GCGCCCGUGGCGCAAUUGGAUAGCGCGUCGCCCUCCGAAGGCGAAGGCUGGUGGUUCGAGCCCACUCGGGCGCA
rnacentral:tRNA from 1 species